UCGACCUGAGGUCAGGCAAGAACACCCGCUGAACUUAAGCAUAUCAAUAAGCGGAGGAAAAGAAACUAACUAGGAUUCCCUUARUAGCGGCGAGCGAACCGGGAUGAGCCCAACUUGWAAAUCAUUACCCCUUGGCUAAUUGAAUUGUACUCUCAAGAUGCGAUCUCUGCAGCUAGCAGUGCCCAAUUUUCCUUGGAAAAGGGAGUCAGAGAGGGUGAGAACCCCGUCGGCACUUGCCUCAGCUGUUCCACGAGACGUUUUCUCAGAGUCGGGUUGCUUGGGAAUGCACCCCUAAGUAGGUGGUAACUCCCAUCUAAGGCUAAAUACUGACGGGAGACCGAUAGCGAACAAGUACUGUGAGGGAAAGAUGAAAAGAACUUUGAAAAGAGAGUCAAAAGUGCUUGAU
rnacentral:rRNA from 1 species